AGUUUAUCUAAUCAAAUAAAAUCCAAAGAUUUACAAAGUUAUAUUGUACCAAGCAUACUAAUAGAAACUAUUAGAAUGUCUUAAAUAACAACAGAAAAAAAUUGUGUUACAUUUUUAACAAAAAUAAAUGAUAUACUACUGACUGUUUAUAAUAUAAAACAAAAACCGAAACCAUUUUUUAACCGAUUUUAAGUUGAAGAGUCGACGACUAGUUAAUCUCUGUAGUACUAAAAAAAUUCUGAAUGAAUUUAAUAUAUGCAUUUUACAUACAAAAUUACGAAUAGCAAAAUAAAUCAGAAAAAAAAUUAGGCAAACAUUUAUAUCUCGUGUUGUGUCUCAGGGAUAGCUGUAAAGUAUAAACAGUAGACAGACGACUUGGAUGUUAAUGUUUCUGAAAGGUUAACACCUGCGGUAUACAAAUAUCAAAAGGAAUGAGACUGAGCAUGAAACGUAAAACUCUGCAAUCGAUCACCGAACAGAAGUGGCUGGAGUUCACCCUUCCGUUUAGUGUUAGCACUACUCUUUGGUGCUCAUUCACAGAGUAGUGGAUAUCCACAUAGUUGGAGACGAAGUGUUGCUUCCUAGGGAUAAACAACACCUGCCACGAUCCGCCCCCAAGCGGACGGACGAAGAAGACAGAAUGACGCAAUAUUGAUACGCUGCGGAUUAUUUUCGUCACGUCAGUGUAUGUGAAAUGAGCGGGCGUCCCAUGCAGUGAUCCCAACUGGUAAAUAUGAUUUAUAGGAAUGAAAUAAAAUUUCACAGAACCAUCAUCAAUAGUGAAAGAUAAAAAGUCCAGCUUUUCGUACAGUUUUUCUUUCGCUUCGCUCGUUGGCCUGAGAAACCAAACCGUGUUUGUGCCUAAAUGAGACAAGUCCUCUAUGUCGGCCUUGUCGACCUCAGCGUAAUCCUCCAGAGCUUGGACAAUUUCCUUAUAGCUUAUCACAGGGGCUCUAGCGCCAUGCAGCAAAACACAGAUUGUGCUUGGAUAAUAAGGUGUAACCAUACUUAAAUCAUUAACAGGUUCUUUCUUUACUGGCACAGUGGAUAAUAAGCUCAUGUUUGGUUCCAUUUCUUUGGUUAAAGACGUCAAGGUGCUCACGUUAAGGAUUGUGUGAAAUUAAUGCUGAUAAUAGUUCACGUUAUCGGUAAACUCCGUUGCAACUGUAAAUAAAGAAGUCGUCAAUAAUUUGUUUUUUAUGGUUAAAAUAUUGUAAACGUUAUUUGUAUUUUGGUGCAUAAGCAUAAUUGUGCGUGUAUGUGCUUGCAUUAAAUUUUUUUUAUACAUGUAGGCUAGAUAUGAAAGUGCGUAGGCUGAUGGUUAAGUAUAAAACUAUGUAGAUUACCUACCCUUUAAAGUAUUCUCUUGUCUCAGCUGUUCUGUUUCUUGUUCCUAAUGCUUUUCUUUAAAGGAAGUAUUGCAUAUAAUCUGUGAGCUGCUCUGUAUUCGGUUUAUUCGUUGUUCUACGUAAAUUAAAGAUCAAUUUUCAUCAAA